CAUGUGCUCGACUCUUCAUUGAGUCGAACAAAGCCGUAAGGCGCUUUGAGAGGGGCCCGCGGCCCAUCAGGUAGUUGGUGAGGUAACGGCCCACCAAGCCGAUGACGGGUAGCUGUUCUGAGAGGAAGAUCAGCCACACUGGCACUGAGAUACGGGCCAGACUCCUACGGGAGGCAGCAGUGAGGAAUAUUGCGCAAUGGACGAAAGUCUGACGCAGCGACGCCGCGUGGGCGAUGAAGGCCUUCGGGUCGUAAAGCCCUUUUAGCAGGGACGAGUGAGGACGGUACCUGCUGAAUAAGUCUCGGCUAACUACGUGCCAGCAGCCGCGGUAAAACGUAGGAGGCGAGCGUUAUCCGGAUUUACUGGGCGUAAAGCGCGCGUAGGCGGUUGGGUAAGUCGGACGUGAAAGCCCCUGGCUCAACUGGGGGAGGCCGUUCGAUACUGCCCGGCUUGAGGGUGAGAGGAAAGUGGA
rnacentral:rRNA from 1 species